GAGCCACCGCGUCCAGUCAUAAGAAUCUGUUUUCUUUUGCAACAGGCCACAAUUGGAGAAACUUGUUGUUUUACCAAGGCUUUGACUGGAAGGGUAUGCUUCCCUUUAAGGAGUCAAGCUCGACUUGCAGAGCUGAUAUAAAACCCCUUGGGGAAAAUGGUCUCAUACACUUAUCUACACAGUCUCUGUACAGAGUUUCUGACCUGUGGUCAUUAAAGAAUUUCACUUUCUAACAGGCCCAAGAGCUCCAAGCUUAUCUUGGAAACUUAAGAGGAGAGGAUCACCGAACUCACAAUGAAUCCUACUUGUUCCUGUGAAGGAACCAGCAAUCUCUGGCUGCAGCUCAGAAAGAACAAAAGAGAUGGAUAAUGUAGAAAUCUGGAUCAAUAUUCUAGUUCUGAGCAAUUAUCAUGCAAAUCCUGCCGAUAAAGGGAAUAAGUAGGGUGUCUACCUGGAGUUUUCCUUUUUGGGAAGUAAUUGUGUUUCCAUACUAUAAGACGCUCCCCUCAGAUGCAUCAUCCAAACUGAGAAGAAUUAAUUUCCCAAACUUUAAACUGGUUGGCUUAGGAUUGGGUUCAGGGGAAGGGAACCCAGAAGCCCAACAUACCAGCAAAAGGGUAAAAGUUUUUUUUACCAGUUGGGCCUAAAGCCCCCCUCUCCCUGUGCAAACUGGUAAAAAGCCUUUGGAUUUUUGAGCUCUUCUUACCCUACCCCUGUCCUUCUUUCAUUUUGAUACAUGUUUUCUAAUAAUCUCACCUUCAGGCCAUCAGACUCAAAAUGGUCAUGCAACUGGAGCCUCAGAAGAUGUUCCCUUCUGCUGAGAACCUGUAGAUAGGCCUCUGAGGGAGAUCUGCCGUUUUCCCCAAAACAGCACCCCCUGUCAGCAGGAAGC
rnacentral:lncRNA from 1 species